rnacentral:rRNA from 1 species
AUGCAAGUCGAGGGGCAGCAUGGUCUUAGCUUGCUAAGGCCGAUGGCGACCGGCGCACGGGUGAGUAACACGUAUCCAACCUGCCGAUAACUCCGGAAUAGCCUUUCGAAAGAAAGAUUAAUACCGGAUGGCAUAGUUUUUCCGCAUGGGAUAAUUAUUAAAGAAUUUCGGUUGUCGAUGGGGAUGCGUUCCAUUAGUUUGUUGGCGGGGUAACGGCCCACCUAGUCUUCGAUGGAUAGGGGUUCUGAGAGGAAGGUCCCCACAUUGGAACUGAGACACGGUCCAAACUCC